GCGCCUGUAGCUCAACGGACUAGAGCACUGGUCUUCGGAACCAGGGGUUGGGGGUUCGAAUCCCUCCAGGCGCGCCA
rnacentral:tRNA from 1 species